rnacentral:lncRNA from 1 species
AAUUGCUGGUGAUUCAACAACGCCAGUUCAGGUGCUUAAUUCAUGUCUGCAAGGCAGGAUUUAAACGCAGGAAAAUACCUGCGCUAGGUGCUGGAAAGUUAAUUGUGGAGACGUUGCGCCUUAGUCCCUCCUGUGGAUCUGUUGCCUGGAUAAGGUCAGCAGCCAAUCUACAGAGUUCCCUGAUAUGGCAGGUCGCAUACUUGAAAAAU